GAAAGAAACUAACAAGGGNUUCCCUNCAGUAGCGGCGAGCGAAGCGGGAAAAGCCCGGGAUGAAAAUCUCUUCGGAGACUUGUAUUCCGUGUGUCCUUGGGUGGUCAGUGCGGGCAAGUUGUCUGGGAUGACGCGCCAUGGAGGGUGAGAGCCCCGUCCAACCCGCACAGGAUCCAUUCGUACGAGGACACUUCAAACUGAGUCGGGUAGCUUGGGAAUGCUGCUCUAAUUGGUGGUAAAUCUCAUCAAAGGCUAAAUAAAAGUGGGAGACCGAUAGCGAACAAGUACCGUGAGGGAAAGAUGGAAAGUACUUUGAAAAGAGAGUGAAAAGCACUUGAAACCGUCAUGGGGGAAGCGAAUUGCGUUAGUGAUGGAUUGGCCUGUUCAGCUCAAAAUAUUUAUUGAGUGUAUUCUGGCUUUUCCGCGCUUGUGUGGCUGGUGCGAGUACAAGGAGGGUGUGAAGGGGGGAAUUUUUGUUUUUCUGUUCUACAUCAUUUGUCGGUACUUUGCGCUGGUGAGGGCUCCCCGCAAGGGUGAGGACACGAGCGAAAUGACGCAAUACGACCCGUCUUGAAACACGGACCAAGGAGUCUAGCACGGCUGCGAGUCGAAGGGUAAUUUUUUAUGAAAAACCUAGAGGGCGCAGUGAAAGCAACUAUGUUGGAGCAAUCUAACGACAAAGCAAAUUGGGGAGGCGUUGCGGUUUUACCAACAUGUCCUACCUUGAGCAUCUGUGCUGGGACCCGAAAGAUGGUGAACUAUGCCGGAGUAGGGCAAAGCCAGAGGAAACUCUGGUGGAGGCUCGUAGCGAUGCUGACGUGCAAAUCGCUCGUCGAACUUGGGUAUAGGGGCGAAAGACUAAUCGAACCAUCUAGUAGCUGGUUCCCUCCGAAGUUUCUCUCAGGAUAGCGGGCCGACACAUUUUUUUUUAAAAGUUGUUUUGUGCGGUAAAGCGAAUGAUUAGUGCAUUUGGGGGCCGAAGGCCUUCAGGCGAUUCUCAAACUUUAAAUGCGCAAGGGGGCGGCUGCUUAAUUUGAGCCUGCUCUUCGAAAAACGUCGGCUCCGUGGGCCACUUUUGGUAAGCAGAACUGGCGAUAAGGGAUGAACCUUAAGCGCGGUUAAGGCGCCGCAUUGCCCGCUUAUAGACCCCACAAAAGGUGUUGAUUCAUAUAGACAGCAGGACGGUGGCCAUGGAAGUCGGAAUCCGCUAAGGAGUGUGUAACAACUCACCUGCCGAAUGAAUUAGCCCUGAAAAUGGAUGGCGCUGAAGCGGGCAGCCGACACCGCGCCGUUCAGGCGAGACAACAUGUCUGAAUGAGUAGGAGGGCGUGGCGGUCCGUGACGCAGGCGAGGGUGCAAACCCCGCUGAAACGGCCGCUAGUGCAGAUCUUGGUGGUAGUAGCAAAUAUUCAAGCGAGAUCCUUGAAGGGCGAAGCGGGGAAGGGUUCCAUGCGAACAUUGAUUGGGCGUGGGUGAGUCGUUCCUAAGCCGAGUGGCAAUUGCUAAGUAGCGGCGAAAGGGAAGCGGGUUAAAAUUCCUGCACACAGAUAUGGAGGCGGCAACGCAAGCAGAGGCGAAGACGCUGGCAAAGGCGCUGGGCAGAGUUGUCUUUUCUGUUUGACCGGCAUCGCGCUGUGUGGAAUCCGAUUAUCGGGAGAAACACGCGCGGGUAGGGGCAGAGCGUCGGGUCUCUUCCGGCGUCCGGCUCGCCUUUGACGGCCCUUGAAAAUUCGCCCGCGGCUUUGGGUUUGGAGGAUUGGAAAUAUUUUCGGUUUUUCAAGUCUGAGGUUUAAUUUCAUGCUGUGACGUACCGAUAACCGCAUCAGGUCCCCAAGGUGAACAGCCUCUGCUCAAUAUGAACAAUGCAGGUAAGGGAAGUCGGCAAAAUGGACCCGUAACUUUGGGAAAAGGGUUGGCUCUAGUGGGGUGGGGGUUAUUUGGGGUCUUUGUAUUUCAAAAGGGGGCUCUUGUGUGCUUGUUUGCGGCCAGUCUGUCUGGUUAGGGUGUUUGUUUCUUUUUAUCGGGCCAUGUUUCUGUCUUUUUUGUUUCCGUGCGUUUCGGCGUGUGGCAACGGGGGCGGCGGCGCGUGGGUCAACCCGGUGGGAGGAUUUCGCCUUGGCCGGGACCGGCUACGGGCAGGCGCGGAGGAUGCAUUCCCGCCCUCAGCAUACCCCAGACUAGAACUGCAACGGGCAAAGGGAAUCCGACUGUUUAAUUAAAACAAAGCAUUGCGAAGGCCGUGGCCGGUGAUGACGCAAUGUGAUUUCUGCUCAGUGCUCUGAAUGUCAAAGUGAAGAAAUUCAAUCAAGCGCGGGUAAACAGCGGGAGUAACUAUGACUCUCUUAAGGUAGCCAAAUGCCUCGUCAUCUAAUUAGUGACGCGCAUGAAUGGAUUAACGAGAUUCCUACUGUCCCUAUCUGCUUCUAGCGAAACCACAGCCGAGGGAACGGGCUCGGCGAAAUCGGCGGGGAAAGAAGACCCUGUUGAGCUUGACUCUAUUCUAAUUUUGUGAAGCAAGUUAGGAGGUGUAGAAUAGGUGGGAGCUACUGUUUUUGCGGUAGCAACCGUGAAAUACCACUACUCUUAAUCUUGCUUUACUUAGGGCGUCAAACUGUGCGGGGGGGUUUGAGACGGUUUGUGCCUUCUCUUGCCCUUUUUGAUUUUCUUUGAAUCAAGCGCGUGCUUCCUUGCGGGGUGCGCGUGAACAGAGCGCCCAACAGAUUUAGGAGGGGAGUUUGGCUGGGGCGGCACAUCUUCUACAAGACAACGAAGGUGUCCAAAGAUAAGCUCAGUGAGAACAGAAAUCUCACGUAGCGCAAAAGGGUAAAAGCUUGUUUGAUUUUGAUUUUCAGUGUGAGUUGAAAACGCGAAAGCGUGGCCUAUCGAUCCUUUCACGAUUCGAGAUUUGAAGCGAGAGGUGUCAGAAAAGUUACCACAGGGAUAACUGGC
rnacentral:rRNA from 1 species